rnacentral:rRNA from 1 species
GACGAACGCUGGCGGCGUGCUUAACACAUGCAAGUCGAACGGAAAGGCCCUGCUUUUGUGGGGUGCUCGAGUGGCGAACGGGUGAGUAACACGUGAGUAACCGGCCCUUGACUUUGGGAUAACUUCAGGAAACUGGGGCUAAUACCGGAUAGGAGCUCCUGCUGCAUGGUGGGGGUUGGAAAGUUUCGGCGGUUGGGGAUGGACUCGGGGCUUAUCAGCUUGUUGGUGGGGUAGUGGCUUACCAAGGCUUUGACGGGUAGCCGGCCUGAGAGGGUGACCGGCGACAUUGGGAAUGAGAUACGGCCCAGACUCAAACGGGAGGCAGCAGUGGGGAAUAUUGAACAAUGGGACGAAGUCUGAUGUAGCAACGCAGCGUGCGGGAGGACGCACUUCGGGUUGAAGACCGCUGUCGCGUGUGAAGAAGGGGGAGUGACGGUAAUGGGGAGGGAAGCAGCGGCUAAAUACGUG